GGUUAUGUAGCUUAGUUGGUUCAAGCGCCGGACUUUCGAUAUGGGGUCAUUGGGUUCGAGUCCCAAUUCGACCC
rnacentral:tRNA from 1 species